CAGCCGCCACGGUAAUGCGUAGGGUGCGAGCGUUAAUCGGAAUUACUGGGCGUAAAGCGUGCGCAGGCGGUUGUGUAAGACAGGUGUGAAAUCCCCGGGCUUAACCUGGGAACUGCGCUUGUGACUGCACAGCUAGAGUAUGGCAGAGGGGGGUGGAAUUCCACGUGUAGCAGUGAAAUGCGUAGAGAUGUGGAGGAACACCGAUGGCGAAGGCAGCCCCCUGGGCCAAUACUGACGCUCAUGCACGAAAGCGUGGGGAGCAAACAGGAUUAGAUACCCGAGUAGUCCCUGUCUCUUAUAC
rnacentral:rRNA from 1 species